UGGGGAAUAUUGCACAAUGGGCGAAAGCCUGAUGCAGCAACGCCGCGUGAGUGAUGAAGGCCUUCGGGUUGUAAAGCUCUGUCUUUUGGGACGAUAAUGACGGUACCAAAGGAGGAAGCCACGGCUAGCUACGUGCCAGCAGCCGCGGUAAUACGUAGGUGGCAAGCGUUGUCCGGAUUUACUGGGCGUAAAGGAUGCGUAGGCGGAUUUUUAAGUGAGAUGUGAAAACCCUAAGCUUAACUUGGGGACUGCAUUUCAUACUGGAAAUCUAGAGUGCGGGAGAGGAGAAUGGAAUUCCUAGUGUAGCGGUGAAAUGCGUAGAGAUUAGGAAGAACACCAGUGGCGAAGGCGAUUCUCUGGACCGUAACUGACGCUGAGGCAUGAAAGCGUGGGUAGCAAACAGGAUUAGAUACCCUGGUAGUCCACGCCGUAAACGAUGAGUACUAGGUGUAGGAGGUAUCGACCCCUUCUGUGCCGCAGUUAACACAAUAAGUACUCCGCCUGGGAAGUACGAUCGCAAGAUUAAAA
rnacentral:rRNA from 1 species